GAGUAUGGCCAUGCCACCCUGAACAAGCCCAAUCCCGUCUGAUCUCGGAAGCUAACCAGGGUCGGGCCUGGUUAGUAGUUGGAUGGGAGACCACCUAGGAAGACCAGGUGCUGUAGGCA
rnacentral:rRNA from 1 species